rnacentral:rRNA from 1 species
UACGGGGGGGGCAAGCGUUGUUCGGAAUUACUGGGCGUAAAGGGCUUGUAGGUGGCCAACUAAGUCAGACGUGAAAUCCCCAGGCUCAACUUGGGAACUGCGUCUGAUACUGGAUGGCUUGAAUUCGGGAGAGGGAUGCAGAAUUCCAGGUGUAGCGGUGAAAUGCGUAGAUAUCUGGAGGAAUACCGGUGGCGAAGGCGGCAUCCUGGACCGAGAUUGACACUGAUGAGCGAAAGCUAGGGGAGCAAACGGG